rnacentral:rRNA from 1 species
CAUCAGGAGGUUAGUGCAAUGGCAUAAGCCAGCUUGACUGCGAGCGUGACGGCGCGAGCAGGUGCGAAAGCAGGUCAUAGUGAUCCGGUGGUUCUGAAUGGAAGGGCCAUCGCUCAACGGAUAAAAGGUACUCCGGGGAUAACAGGCUGAUACCGCCCAAGAGUUCAUAUCGACGGCGGUGUUUGGCACCUCGAUGUCGGCUCAUCACAUCCUGGGGCUGAAGUAGGUCCCAAGGGUAUGGCUGUUCGCCAUUUAAAGUGGUACGCGAGCUGGGUUUAGAACGUCGUGAGACAGUUCGGUCCCUAUCUGCCGUGGGCGCUGGAGAACUGAGGGGGGCUGCUCCUAGUACGAGAGGACCGGAGUGGACGCAUCACUGGUGUUCGGGUUGUCAUGCCAAUGGCACUGCCCGGUAGCUAAAUGCGGAAGAGAUAAGUGCUGAAAGCAUCUAAGCACGAAACUUGCCCCGAG